GACGAACGCUGGCGGCGUGCUUAACACAUGCAAGUCGAACGGAAAGGCCCUGCUUUUGUGGGCUGCUCGAGUGGCGAACGGGUGAGUAACACGUGAGUAACCUGCCCUUGACUUUGGGAUAACUUCAGGAAACUGGGGCUAAUACCGGAUAGGAGCUCCUGCUGCAUGGUGGGGGUUGGAAAGUUUCGGCGGUUGGGGAUGGACUCGCGGCUUAUCAGCUUGUUGGUGGGGUAGUGGCUUACCAAGGCUUUGACGGGUAGCCGGCCUGAGAGGGUGACCGGCCACAUUGGGACUGAGAUACGGCCCAGACUCCUACGGGAGGCAGCAGUGGGGAAUAUUGCACAAUGGGCGGAGGCCUGAUGCAGCAACGCCGCGUGCGGGAUGACGGCCUUCGGGUUGUAAACCGCUUUCGCCUGUGACGAAGCGUGAGUGACGGUAAUGGGUAAAGAAGCACCGGCUAACUACGUG
rnacentral:rRNA from 1 species